rnacentral:hammerhead_ribozyme from 1 species
AUCCAACUGACGAGUUCCAAACAGGAUGAAACGCGCGUCCUGGAU